GGAAAAUAGCGUAAAAACAUGAUUGAAAUGUUCAUCUUUGGGCACAUUUUCCUUUAAAUGUGGAGGAAGAGUUUCAUAAUGCGCAAGUUUGCUCUAAUUUGCACGACAAGAAGGCGACAUGCGGACUGAUAAGUGGCAUUCUAAUAAUAGUUGGACUACACGUAUCGAUAAUGUAGCCCAUUCUAAUUUACAACUCUGCCUCUAAUUAGUCAGUCCCAUGUGCUCGUGUAAUAAACACGCUAAAAAAAAGUAGGCUUGGCUAAAUUCCCAGAACUCCACUAAUCUGCACAUCAUCUCCUUUCCUUUUCCAGACACUAUUGAUCAAACUCGGGCUUUUUCGUCACUAUUGAUAACUUUGCCUAAGCGAAAUCAAGUGCAAUUGUCCAGUUAAUGUCGGGGACAGAGGCACGGAUACAUUUUGUUCUUAUUCUUUUUUUUUCUUUUUCUUCUUUUUUUAAGACGUGGGCACUUUUCCAGAAAAAAAGAACAACUCUACUUUUUUUUUUUUUUAAUUCCUACUCCAACAAAAGACAUGUUGGCAGACUUGUCAAACAUACGUGCGGACUCUCGUGCUAAGUCUCUCCGUUACUUUUUUUAAAAAGUGGGACCGGUGAUCGUAAACGUUGUUUAACGAGGGGGAAUCCAGCCCACAUAUUUAUUGCAGCCGCUGAAAAAAAUCUCCUCAAUAUCCCCCAAGAUGGCCGCCGAUGUAGGAUCGAUGUUUCAAUAUUGGAAGAAAUUUGAUCUACGGCGGCUGCAGGUUAGUGCUAUUCUCACCUUUCUCGCUUUAUUUUUCAGCGGUAUGCCUUGCUACUGUACUCCGGGUUGUGUUUGCUUGUUUUGGGCGGACGUGAAGCGAAAGGAAGCGCUGUUUGCAUUGAUAGUUAUUAGAAAUUGAUCCCUCUCCUGCCUUUGUUCAGUUCAAUCAUUGAUCAGCGGUGGAGCGACCGCGGAGCAGCACAGCCUUCUGUGCCACACCGAUCUGGGAUCAGCACCGCGGACAGCACUGAUGUUUAUGCAUUAGCUUUUCUUCUUCUUCUUCUUCUUUUUUUUUUUUUACUCAUUAUUGUCCGCGACGAGCACAGCCGUACUUACAUGUACGGAAACUUUUAAUGCGCCUCCGAAUCGCUGUCCUUGGACGUAGGCUGUAACUUUUUCUCCCAGCUUAAUGUUUUAUGCGGUUUGUGUCGACGGUCGUUGCGUUGCUGCUGCACCUUUCAGCAGGCUACAGUGCAUUUCUUUGAAUUUUACAUUUUCUGCUCCGAAGGAUUUGCAUGUCGGGAAGUUUUUAAGUGUGACGUGGAAAGUUAAUUUAGUUAUUUUGCUCGGACAUUUUUAUUAUGAUAAAAUAUUUAAUGUGCGGACUAGUGUUUGGGCUGUAUUGACACAGUAGACUACUGUUAGGCUACAUUCACACAGCGUUUAUUCGCGGUUCACAGACGACCUUUUUCUUUUAAUUUUUAAAAAUUUUUUUGGACUGUCAUGUCGCUGGCACCAAAAUGUUUGUGAUUAAUAGCGAGGAGAAUGUGGCAGGUGAGCGGUUUGUUUGUAUCACAGCCAUAACAUGUAGUCCCGUUAAAUAGCAUGUCAGCCUCCGUAGCCUUUGGCUACAGCUUGAGCCACUCAAACUCAAAGUUGGAUUUAUGAAGCACGGCGCUGACGGACUCGUAGCUCGCUCCUGGUCCUGGAAGCAAACGUUGAAAUAAGGUUGAGGAAAGCUAAACGCUGUUUUCAGUGUCCA
ensembl:lncRNA